rnacentral:lncRNA from 1 species
CAGGAAGUGAAUAUUGUCUGUUUUCUGUUUAGCUCCUCAGCCUGCUUUUUAUGAGGCCAUGAUAUUAAUGGCACUUGGAAUGCAUUGUUUGUCUCCAUGUUCACUUAAAUGUCAUCUUUGCUUGCAUCCCAGCUGCUCAGGUGCUGUGCCAAACACUGGGGCUAGAAGGAGAAGCAGAAGAUCUUUCCAGCCCUCAAAAGAAGCUCACCAUCUAAUGAGGGAAGACACUGAAAAGGGGAGGGGAUAUGUAGCCCCAAGGUGUGAUGAGAUACUGCAUUUGAACUGGGAACUGAUCCAACAAGGCAUCAGUUGUUAAGUUGAACUCAUCUUGCAAAAUGAUGAAUUUGGGGAGAUUGCAAAAUCCAGGAGAUUAGCCAGGUAGGAAAUGAUAAGGUAAAUUCCCUUGGUGUCCUCCUUAAAUGGUAAAGGAUCUGGGAGGGAGAGGGAAGAAGUUAAGAACAAGGAAAGGUCUGCAGAUGCUGAGAUUUGAGCUGUCUUGAAGGAAGCCUGGAGAUACCAAGAGAGGGAGGUAAUAGGGCAAGGCAUUUCAGGCAAGGGGGAUGACCGGUGAAGAGUCUGUCAGUCAAAAGACAAAUUAUUAAGCACCUUCUAUGUGCCAGGUACUGUAAUAAGUGCUCAAUAAUAAAAAGAAAGGCAACAAGAAAUCCUUAUUCUCA